GAUGAACGCUAGCGGCAGGCCUAAUACAUGCAAGUCGAACGGAUAUAUGUUUUUCGGAAUAUAUAUUAGUGGCGCACGGGUGAGUAACACGUACAUAACUUGCCCUCAAGCGGGGGAUAGCCUUGGGAAACUGAGAGUAAUACCCCAUAGAAUUAUUGGACGGCAUCGUUUGAUAAUUAAAACUACGGUGUUUGGGGAUAGAUGUGCGUCUGAUUAGCUAGUUGGUGAGGUAACUGCUUACCAAGGCGACGAUCAGUAAGGGGCGUGAGAGCGUGGCCCCCCACACGGGUACUGAGACACGGACCCGACUCCUACGGGAGGCAGCAGUAAGGAAUAUUGGUCAAUGGAGGGAACUCUGAACCAGCCAUGCCGCGUGAAGGAUGACGGCCCUCUGGGUUGUAAACUUCUUUUGGAUGGGGCGAAAAAACGGGAUUUAUCCUGGACUGACGGUACCAUCAGAAUAAGCACCGGCUAACUCCGUGCCAGCAGCCGCGGUAAUGUCAC
rnacentral:rRNA from 1 species